AUUGAACGCUGGCGGCAGGCCUAACACAUGCAAGUCGAACGAGUGGCGGACGGGUGAGUAAUGUCUGGGAAACUGCCCGAUGGAGGGGGAUAACUACUGGAAACGGUAGCUAAUACCGCAUACCAUCGGAUGUGCCCAGAUGGGAUUAGCUUGUAGGUGAGGUAACGGCUCACCUAGGCGACGAUCCCUAGCUGGUCUGAGAGGAUGACCAGCCAGAGUGGAAAGGAGCCACGGUCCAGACUCCGACGGGAGUCAUGAGUGGGGAAGAUUGAAAAAUGGUCGAAAGCAGGAGACAGCCAUGCCGGGUGUAUGAAGAAGGCCUUCGGGUUGUAAAGUACUUUCAGCGGGGAGGCGUUACUCGCAGAAGAAGCACCGGCUAACUCCGUGCCAGCAGCCGCGGUAAGUC
rnacentral:rRNA from 1 species